CGUCAUUGUUUCUUCUCCGAGAAAAGAAGUUGACGACCCGUAGGCCUUCCACCUCCACACGGCAUUGCUCCAUUAGGCUUUCGCCCAUUGCGGAAAAUUCCCCACUGCUGCCUCCCGUAGGAGUCUGGGCCGUGAGAUCGGAAGAGAAAA